rnacentral:lncRNA from 1 species
CUCGCCGUCUCUCCCCACAUCUCACGCUCGCCGUCUCUCCCCACAUCUCACGCUCGCCGUCUCUCCCCACAUUUCACGCAUGUUUGCAGAGAUGUCUUCCCAGCUAUUUGUGCCUGUGGCAGGGGAGGACCAACCAUAUUCCAGAUAAGCCAGAUCUGGCAGGUUACAACAUAGACUCUGACUGACACACCUUAUUUACAAAAUCAGGAGAGACGGGCGUUUUAGUUUAACAUAUCAAUUUAGUGAAUCUAUGAGCUGGAAGAACAAUCAUAACCUCCCUGGGGUGAAUCAGGACAAUAAAUGGCAGCCAUUUGCUCUGUGUAAUUGAAUUAUCCCUCAGCACAAUCAGUUGGCGCUGUGUUACUGAGGUGAAAUGUGACUCCUCCAUAUCCCAACGCGACCAUUUGUGAACCUGGUAAAUACAAUUAUAUUAUUAAGACAAGGUUGACAUUUUGAUGAGGUUUUAUGACGGUUUAAAUAUGUAGGAGUGAUCGUGUCAGUGAGGAUGAAGCGGUAAAGGAGUACAUACCAUCAAUCUCAGGGAUUGAGGUAGCAGGAGUAGGCAGGGCCACGGGAGCAAGGGCGGCUGGUGUUAGCUCUGGGGCAGGGGCUGGGGCGUCUGAGGUAGCAGGAGUAGGCAGGGCCACGGGAGCAAGGGCGGCUGGUGUUAGCUCUGGGGCAGGGCCACGGGAGCAAGGGCGGCUGGUGUUAGCUCUGGGGCAGGGGCUGGGGCGUCUGAGGUAGCAGGAGUAGGCAGGGCCACGUGAGCAAGGGCGGCUGGUGUUAGCUCUGGGGCAGAGGCGGCUGGUGUUAGCUCUGGGGCAGGGGCGGCUGGUAUUAGCUCUGGGGCAGGGGCUGGAGCUGCCACCUCACCUGGGGCCUCUACUGGUCCUGGGGCCUCCACUGGUCCUGGGGCCUCCACUGGCUCAUUGGCAAUGGCUGCUACAGGGGCCUCCACAGCCACAGGGGUGAUUAUUGGCUCUGCUGCAGGCUCAGCAGCAACAACAAGGUCAGUUAUGGGGCCACUGGGUGCAGGGGCCUCCACAGCAGGGGCCCCCUCUGGGACAGCGGCCACAGCCUCAGCAGCAGGGGCCCCCACUGGGACAGCGGCCACAGGCUCAGGGGCUGGGGCUUCUUUGGUCUCCUCUGUUGGGGCUGGAGCUGGGGUCUCCUCUUUUGGGGCUGGAGCUGGGGUCUCCUCUUUUGGGGCUGGAGCUGGGGUCUCCUCUGUUGGGGCUGGAGCUGGGGUCUCCUCUGCUGGGGCUGGAGCUGGGGUCUCCUCUGUUGGAGCUGGAGUCUCCUCUGUUGGAGCUGGAGCUGGGGUCUCCUCUGUUGGGGCUGAAGCUGGCUCUGGGACCGUUUCAGCCACCUCAAUGGGGGCAGCUACCUCGACUGGGGCAGCAGCUUCCACAGGUGCAGCUGUCUCGACCAGGGUAACCACCUCCACUGCAGCUCCAGUUUCAACAACAGGGGCCUCGUCAGACACCACUGUCUUAGCAGGAGCCUCUGCCACAGGAGCGGCCUCAACCACGACGGCCUCAACAGGGAUCGCCGCCUCCACUGGGGCCACAGCCUCUACUAAAACCACAGCCUCUGAAGGGACCUCUGCUUCCACGGCUGCAGCCUCAGCAGGGACUUCAGGUGGAACCUCUGGCUCAGCUGCAGCCAGCAUCACCAGGACCUGGUCCUCCUCCCAUCCAGACCCCACGGUCUCCAGGGCCUCGGAGCCCAUGAUGACUGGCUCCUCAGAGUCAUCAGUCAGGGCACUCUGGACAGGAAGUUGCAUCUGGUCAGCGAUGGUCUCUGUUUCCUCCGAGAUGUGUCCAUUCCUGACAACUGGAAUAAAAAAUUUAAAAAACACAGUAAGACAUGAGGUUCAUGAGAGAAAAUGUAUUUCUAGGUUUAACCUGACAUCUGAAACCAG